GCUACCAAACACUGUUCUCAAAAUCUAAAACUCCCCCACACAUGUUCAUACUUUGCUCAAUCCCAACCGGUCGUACAAGCCCAACCCAAAUGGCAAACGAUGCCACAAGUUGGGCUUGGGCAAUUGGUCCUGGGUAUUUGGGCCCCCAAAUAUUAGAAACCACGGCCCACGGGCCCUUUGAUAAUACUUCACGUUCCAACAAAGCGGUCUAUUAAAAGUUAAAACCGGCAGCAACUAAACGAUGCAGCACAGCA
rnacentral:lncRNA from 1 species